CCUACGGGAGGCAGCAGUGGGGAAUAUUGCACAAUGGGGGAAACCCUGAUGCAGCGACGCCGCGUGAGUGAAGAAGUAUUGCGGUAUGUAAAGCUCUAUCAGCAGGGAAGAAAAUGACGGUACCUGAUUAAGAAGCCCCGGCUAACUACGUGCCAUCAGCCGCGGUAAUACGGAGGGGGCAAGCGUUAUCCGGAUUUACUGGGUGUAAAGGGAGCGUAGACGGUGAUGCAAGUCAGAAGUGAAAGCCCGGGGCUCAACUCCGGGACUGCUUUUGAAACUGUGUGACUGGAGUGCAGGAGAGGUAAGCGGAAUUCCUGGUGUAGCGGUGAAAUGCGUAGAUAUCAGGAGGAACACCAGUGGCGAAGGCGGCUUGCUGCAGCGGAACUGACGCUGAUGCUCGAAAGCGCGGGUAUCGAACAGGAUUAGAUACCCCAGUAGUC
rnacentral:rRNA from 1 species